rfam:Oryza meridionalis cultivar OR44 (W2112) chromosome 7, whole genome shotgun sequence.
UUUAAAUGCAGCCAUAUGUUUCCGUGCCCAAUUUUAAUCAUCUAUUUAUUUUUAAAAAUAUUAUUAGUAUUUUUAUCAUUAUUAGAUGAUAAAAAAUGAAUAGUGCUUCAUGCGUAACUUGUGUUUUUAAAUUUUUCUAAAAAAAACUUUUUAAAUAAGACGUACGAUCAAAGUUGGACAUAAAAAAUUAUAGCGGCACUUAAA